AUUGAACGCUGGCGGCAGGCCUAACACAUGCAAGUCGAACGAGUGGCGGACGGGUGAGUAAUGUCUGGGAAACUGCCUGAUGGAGGGGGAUAACUACUGGAAACGGUAGCUAAUACCGCAUACCAUGAGAUGUGCCCAUAGGAGAGUAGCUGGUUGGUGGGGUAACGGCUCACCAAGUCGACGAUCCAUAGCUGGUCUGAGAGGAUGACGCGCCACACUGGAACUGGGACACUGUCCAGACUCCUACGGGAGGCAGCAUGCGGGCAUAUUGCACAAUGAGCGCAAGCCUGAUACAGCCAUGCGGCGUGUAUGAAAAAGGCCUUCGGGUUGUAAAGUACUUUAAGCGGGGAGGCGUUACCCACAGAAGAAGCACCGGCUAACUCCGUGCCAGCAGCCGCGGUAAUUC
rnacentral:rRNA from 1 species